rnacentral:rRNA from 1 species
UACGUAGGUGGCAAGCGUUGUUCGGAAUUAUUGGGCGUAAAGGGCGCGUAGGCGGUUUGUUAAGUCAGCUGUGAAAGCCCGGGGCUCAACCCCGGAGGGUCAGCUGAUACUGGCAGGCUAGAGUACAGAAGAGGUAACUGGAAUUCCCGGUGUAGCGGUGGAAUGCGUAGAGAUCCGGAGGAACACCAGCGGCGAAGGCGGCAUCCUGGACUGGUCCUGACACUCAUGAGCGAAAGCGUGGGGAGCGAUCCGG